rnacentral:rRNA from 1 species
GGACGAACGCUGGCGGCACGCUUAACACAUGCAAGUCGAACGGAGUAAUGAGCUUGCUUAAUAACUUAGUGGCGGACGGGUGAGUAACACGUGAGCAAUCUGCCUACGUGGGGGAUAGCAGUUGGAAACGACUGAUAAUACCGCAUAACAUAACGGGACCGCAUGAUUCUGUUAUCAAAGAUUCAUUGCCGUAAGAUGAGCUCGCGUCUGAUUAGAUAGUUGGUGAGGUAACGGCCCACCAAGUCGACGAUCAGUAGCCGGACUGAGAGGUUGAACGGCCACAUUGGGACUGAGACACGGCCCAGACUCCUACGGGAGGCAGCAGUGGGGAAUAUUGCACAAUGGAGGAAACUCUGAUGCCAGCGAUGCCGCGUGAGGGAAGAAGGUUUUCGGAUUGUAAACCUCUGUCUUAUGGGACGAUAAUGACGGUACCAUAGGAGGAAGCUCCGGCUAACUACGUGCCAGCAGCGGC